rnacentral:ncRNA from 1 species
GCACGCAGGUGUUACGCAGCUUCCGAUAGAAAUAUCGGAAUGAUCUCAAGGUGAAUUGCUGGAAGCCCUCGCGCAAGCAAGGUAAUCAGCAGCCAAGCUUUGUUCGAAAGAACACUGAAGGUUCAGAGACUAUCCCUAACGGGAGUACGGUUUAUUAGAUGAUAAACCGGAAGUGCCUUGCAUCCUCGCUCGAAAGAGACGGAUGAAGAUAUAGUCCACGCUGUCGGGAAACCGAUAG